rnacentral:rRNA from 1 species
UACGAGGGGGGCGAGCGCUAUUCGGAAGCACUGGGCGUAAAGCGUGCGUAGGCUGUCUUGUAAGUUGGAGGUGAAAGCCCAGGGCUCAACCCUGGAAUUGCUUUCAAAACUACAAGACUUGAAUCUCGGAGAGGAUAGCGGAAUUUCCAGUGUAGCAGUGAAAUGCGUAGAUAUUGGAAGGAACACCAGUGGCGUAAGCGGCUAUCUGGACGAGUAUUGACGCUGAGGCACGAAAGCGUGGGGAUCAAACAGG